UACGUAGGAGGCAAGCGUUGUCCGGAAUUACUGGGCGUAAAGCGUGCGCAGGCGGUUUUGUAAGUCAGAUGUGAAAUCCCCGGGCUUAACCUGGGAACUGCAUUGGUGACUGGCAGGCUUUGAGUGUGGCAGAGGGAGGUAGAAUUCCACGUGUAGCAGUGAAAUGCGUAGAGAUGUGGAGGAAUACCAAUGGCGAAGGCAGCCCCCUGGGUUAACACUGACGCUCAUGCACGAAAGCGUGGGGAGCAAACAGG
rnacentral:rRNA from 1 species